CUCGUCUCAAAUAAAGACGUAACAAGAGAGGACAGAGACGCUCCAGCUGCAGCUUAAUAACAGUAUCGUUAACAGUGCACACGUGUUGCGGAGGACAUGGCCUUUGGGCAUCUCAUCCCUCAGCUGAGGCUGGAGGAGCCAGCGGAGGACCCCAUCCGCCACUUCCAGCGUGGACACAACCAACGUGGGAAGUCAAGUUCACCCAGCUGUGACAGGAAGCGGCACAAGCCACACUGCAAGUGACUUGGAUUGUUCCUCCAAGGGCAUCACCACAGAGCCUGGCCAACCCAAGGGCCCCAGCUAAUGAGUCAAUGCAGGGAAAUUGAUUUAGUCUCCACCUUCCUAUCUCCAUCCCAUGCAGGCCAAAGAUAAAACAGGGUGAGUCCCCAGGGUCAUGGCUCAGUAAAGCCCUCCAAAGUCAUUUCCUUUCCUCUGACUGAAGAGCCAGAUUAAUUAUAGACCAAUAAAAACUAGCAUCAGGUCUAAUUAGUGAGCAUAUUGAAUAGAUGUAA